rnacentral:rRNA from 1 species
UACGUAGGGUGCAAGCGUUAAUCGGAAUUACUGGGCGUAAAGCGUGCGCAGGCGGUUUUGUAAGUCAGAUGUGAAAUCCCCGGGCUUAACCUGGGAACUGCGUGUGAUACUGGAUGGCUUGAAUUCGGGAGAGGGAUGCAGAAUUCCAGGUGUAGCGGUGAAAUGCGUAGAUAUCUGGAGGAAUACCGGUGGCGAAGGCGGCUCACUGGACCGGUACUGACGCUGAUGCGCGAAAGCGUGGGGAGCAAACGGG